UACGUAGGGUGCAAGCGUUAAUCGGAAUUACUGGGCGUAAAGCGUGCGCAGGCGGUGAUGUAAGACAGGUGUGAAAUCCCCGGGCUUAACCUGGGAACUGCAUUUGUGACUGCAUCGCUGGAGUGCGGCAGAGGGGGAUGGAAUUCCGCGUGUAGCAGUGAAAUGCGUAGAUAUGCGGAGGAACACCGAUGGCGAAGGCAAUCCCCUGGGCCUGCACUGACGCUCAUGCACGAAAGCGUUGGGGGAGCAAACAGG
rnacentral:rRNA from 1 species